UCCGUCUCGCUGUAUUUCUCCCCCCGCCCUUGGCUUUGUUUACGAGUUUUCUUGCAGCGGUGGCCGUGCGGCGCUGGAGGGAUGCCCUUGGGAUGGGACCGUAGCAGCGGCGUUUCAUGCGGCCUUUGCGGCAGCUGUCGCCUGGGGGAUGCAGACAUCCGACAUAGUGCUUAAAGGCUGAGAGCUUGUACGGGUCCCUUUGGACGUACAGAGAUCAGCCGUCAUCGUCCCGUAACUCCUAUUCCUGUUUCCUGGGGUCCCAGCCAGGAUACAAAGUAUAAAUCAUCGUGGAUCUUGUUGGAAAAGUCAUUCUUUCUCAUACGAUUACUCAAAGGAUUUUGAAGAUUGAAUAGGUGACUGCACUAGGGAUGACUCUACUUGAAGUUUUACCAGCAGAUGCAAAAAGAAUGAGACCUUCUGACUGUCAUUGUUGCCAUCAGCAAGGAGCAGAACACCUGCUAAAGGAUUUGGACUUCUGGGAUAUUUUUGAUAUCAACUGAAAAAUGGCCACUGCUUGGAGGGACACCUGUCCUUUCACCAAUGCCAGCUCUUCAUGUUAACCCAGUACAGCACCAAUGGGGAACCUAAGAAGACACUGCUGACACUGGCAAUAGUGAAAGUCCUGUAACCACAUGAGCAUUGCACCUUCUGUUGCACUCCAGAUUCUGUUGCAGUCCUAUGAGUAUGUCUGAAAAAUUUAAGGCUUUUCUAUUAAAACAAAUGUUAAUGAG